CCUACGGGAGGCUGCAGUAGGGAAUAUUGCUCAAUGGGGGAAACCCUGAAGCAGCAACGCCGCGUGGAGGAUGAAGGUUUUAGGAUUGUAAACCCCUUUUGUGAGGGAAGAUAAUGACGGUAUCUCACGAAUAAGCAACUGAUAACUCCGUGCCAGCAGCCACGGUAAUACGGCGGGUGCAAGCGGUAAUCGGAAUCACUGGGCGUAAAGAGUGCGCAGGCGGGAUUGUAAGUCAGAGGUGAAAUCCUGUAGCUUAACUACAGAACUGCAUGUGAAACUAUGAGUCUAGAGUGUGGGAGAGGUAGGUGGAAUUCUUGGUGUAGGGGUAAAAUCCGUAGAUAUCAAGAGGAAUAUUCAUUGCGAAGGCGACCUACUGGAACAUAACUGACGCUCAUGCACGAAAGCGUGGGGAGCAAACAGGAUUAGAUACCCCAGUAGUC
rnacentral:rRNA from 1 species